AGAAAAGUCUCCGAUGGACUAAAAUCAUCAUCGACGAAGCGGUCUCAGAAAUCACCCCCAAAAACCUCGAUACAGACUUCAUCCAGGACCACGAACACACAGAAACAUGAUCGGAUCGUCUUCGAGGCUCUGAUACCAUGUUAACAUCAAGAUUGAACGAAAGAAUCAUACAAAUUAUAGAGAGAGAAAGUAGAGAGAAGGAGGAGAGUAGGUGAGAAGUCUCUCGAAUGUCAGAGAGAGAAUUGUAUUAACCG
rnacentral:lncRNA from 1 species